CGGGAAUCUUUACAGAUCACUCAGUCCCCCGGUGUAAGGAACCCCCAAGUCUUUUACUUUUCCUUCUUCUGCCGAUUUGUUUAUGAUUUGUUUUAGGUUUAUGCAUAUAUAUUUCAUCCGGCUAACUUAGAUUUUUUCUAGAUUUUCUUUGGUUACCCUUAAUCUGGAUUUGUGCUGGCAAUGACAGCGACUUUGUUGUUAUCAAUCAAAAGGGUAUUGAUCCCCCUUCCUUGCAUCUACUUCAACAAGCAGCGUGAUAUUGUUAUUCCUAAAUGAUUUUGAGUGGCACACAGUUUUGAUCACCAGUGAGGUAUGAGGCUGAUGUGACUGAUAUAUUUUUUCUUUCUUUCUUUUAAGUAUUACAUAUAUGUUUAAAACUGAAUUUUCUAAUAGUUUUUCUGCUACUGCAGCUGGUUUGUUUAUGUUAUUUGCUUGCAUUUUUGAGUUAUUUCACUGCUGGUUUUUUUGUUCUUCACUGUUGUGUUGUUUAUGUUAUUUGAGUAUGUUGAAAAUUGGCGUAACAUGCUGCUGUAAUAUUUCUGGAUGAAGUGUAUACAUGCUGUAGCACGAAUGUUUCAGGGCUGCUUAGUUGUACUAUCUUCGGAUAAAGUGCAUGUAGCUUCUAAACAUGCUACAUUGUAAUCAACCUAGUUGAAAAUGAACAAGCUGAUGACAGCUUGAUAUGUUUAGGUGUUGACUAGUUUAGGUGGCUUGUCUAUGUGUACAAGCAAUAUCUAUUAAGUUACUAGGCUACUUAGUGGUAGUAGGUAGUGUUUGGUGAUGUAUUUGACUAUAAAUGUAACACCCCACACCCGUGCCUAGAGGUGUUCAUGGGCUGGGCUGGGCUUGUAACACCCCUCGCCCUUAUCCAACGUCGGAAUAGGGUUUUAGGUGUUACCUUACUUAAACUCGAUCAAUCUAGGGCGAUCAGAUUCGUAAAA